CUGCAAUGUUAUCAUGAUAGUUACUAAAUACUGAUAUAUUGCCCAUCCUUAUUGGUACUGCAUUUCUCUAUUCUCAUUGUUGUGUUCCUUGACCCCUAUUCUUGUAUAUCUUAAUUUGUCUCGUAUUGACAUUUCUUCCUCUCUUUUGCCUUCUCUCCUCCUAGUAUAUGUACAUGUACAUCUAACUUUUGCUCUUUCUUUUUUCUUCCUAUAUAGGACUCUCCUAUCUCUUAUGUUCUUUGUCUUCUUGUGUAUAAUACAGUUCCUUACUGAUACUAUAAGCUUGUGUUAACACAUACGCAUUGCGUGUCAAGAAUCAAGAUUCCAUUUCCAGCAAAAGAUGUGGGAGCAGAACUAUCCUAACAACAUGAUGGAGAAUGGAAUAAAGACAAAAUGCUAAGAAUAUUCAAAGCUUGUCCAAUUUGAACAAUGCCGUUAACUACUCAUAAUCAAUAAACAAUUUGUUCCAUGGACAUUAACUUAUUACUUAGAGAAAAGGAUGUGUUGAGAUUAAUAUGCACUAAUGCAAUGGUAAGUGGUAUGUGAUGUACAUGUACAUGUAUUCGAGUUAAGGGAUUACUGAGUAACUGUAAUGGUAAUUGUCACAGGCCUAUGUCACUGACUAUACAUGCAUUCUUCAUUAUGUCUCAGAUAAACCCAUUAACAAUGACAUUGUCUUCUGAGCACAGAUGGCAAUACAGUUACCAUUGCCAUUA